ensembl:lncRNA
UCCUUCUCCCCUUAUCACAUAUAAUCUUUGUAAUGAAUCCUCCCUUUGAAUAUUUCUUGAAUAUUUACAUGAAUAUCUUCAUGAAUAUUUUCGUGAAUAUUUUCGUGAAUAUUUUGAUGAAUAUUUUGAUGAAUAUUUUUUGAUUAUUUUUUUGAAUAUCUUUUCUUUCACCAACAAUCGGCCCACAGGUUCCCUGUGAAGAUCACUCCUUUUGUUUUCCUCGCAAUAUUGUAGAAAGCAAGAUACGUGGCAAACACAGGUUUCCUUCUCCCCUUAUCACAUAUAAUCUUUGUAAUGAAUCCUCCCUUUGAAUAUUUCUUGAAUAUUUCCAUGAAUAUCUUCAUGAAUAUUUUCAUGAAUAUUUUCGUGAAUAUUUUCAUGAAUAUUUCGUGAAUAUUUUCAUGAAUAUUUUGAUGAAUAUUUUUUGAUUAUUUUUUUUGAUUAUUUUUUUGAUUGAUUUUUUGAAUAUCUUUUCUUUCACCAACCAUUAGCCCACUGGUUCCCUAUGAAGAUCACUCCUUUUGUUUUCCUCGCAAUAUUGUGGAAAGCAAGAUACGUGGCAAACACAGGUUUCCUUCUCCCCUUAUCACAUAUAAUCUUUGUAAUGAAUCCUCCCUUUGAAUAUUUCUUGAAUAUUUACAUGAAUAUCUUCAUGAAUAUUUUCGUGAAUAUUUUCGUGAAUAUUUUGAUGAAUAUUUUGAUGAAUAUUUUUUGAUUAUUUUUUUGAAUAUCUUUUCUUUCACCAACCAUU